UUCCAGCUGCUCUCUCCCAGAGUGCCCCGGGCCAGUCGCUCUCCCUCUGUGCACCUGGGAAACGAGAGGACCUUGCUGCAUGGUUUCCUCCACCUCUGACAGUUUGGACAUGUGCAGGCAGCCUUGUGUUCCUUGGGGAAGGCUCCAGAAUGUCUCCUCAGAGUUGUGCGACAUCUGCUGGAUGUAUGAUCUGACCUCCCUUCUGCGUGUUCUCAGCUAUGAGGGACAGGUUGGAAAUGGAGAUCUUCCGCAGCUACAAAGAUGGCAGACAGACUGCACAGGACAGGGCGAGAGCUGAUCAGGACUGCACAAAGCACAGGGCCCAGUGCUGCGGGGAGCGUUUAUGGAACUGCUGCAGGAUUAUCAUCUUUGCUGAUGAUCCAUCAUGGGAAUGUUUUCAUGAACUGUGGCCCAACUUACCUGGAUCCGUUUGUUAACUUCUGCUUGAUAACCAGGCACUGUGAAUAUGGCACUAAUUAACGAGAGCUUCUGGAAGCACAUAUUGGAACAUGAAGAGAAGCAAGAAAGUGAAUGCUCAGCACUUCUGGGGAAUUAUAUUCUGUUAUGCAAGACUCUCUUGCACUCAUGCUGUCUGAGAGGAAGGGUUGGGCAAGUUCAUUUGCCUUACUGUAAGCACGCUGCUCACCACCAAUGCCACACCUUCCCAGCAACAGUCACCUUUGUUUUGAGGUUUUAGAGCAAAAGGUGAGGAGAUGGGUUUUCCUGGCCUCUAAGUGGUCCUCACCAAGAGGGUGGAUGUGUAGGAUGUUUUGUGUUUGUGUUUUUAAUAUGUGGGGUGCUUGAAGGCACGGGGUCCCCUUGUUGGGCCAAAAUUGUUUUAUUUCAUUUUAUUUAUAUUUGGACCUUACAUACAGAGAUUUCAGUUGAGCAUACACCUCAGUUCAUGAUACAGUAUAAUCUUUGGUCUAUCCAAGGGCCUCUUAGCCUUAGAUGUGAAAUUCAGGAUGUUUUUAAGAGAACUACCAAAUUAGACUAAAUGUACUGCUAAGAUGAUGGUUCUCAACUAUUCUGAGAAACCUGUCUUUAAAUUAGUUUUAAGAUAGAUAUGGCUUAGUUCUUGGAUAUUUUAUCACAAAAAAGUUCAGGUUCUUUCUCUAAUAUCAGUUUAUAACCUAUGAGGGACAGAAGGGCCAAUAGCAUUGGAUGCAGAUAAGUGUUUAGAGUCGAGGUGUCCAAAUUUCACAUGAGAAUACAGGGGACCAAGGAAGAGGUGCUAAACUUGUGGGCUGGGCUGCCUGGAUGUGAGACGCAUGCAGUACAGUCGUCCUGCCUCCGCAUCACUGACUUGUCCAGCCUGGCUGUCCCUGGCAGUCAGCCACUUCCCAUCUCCCUGGCUGGGCUGCCCUCCAGCACCUGUGCUUCCUGCCCGUAGCUGUCCAUUCAGCCAUUGUAGCUGGCAGCACUCAAGUCUUGACAAUGCUUCCAGUGUCUCUUCAAAUCCCAGGACCUGUCUGUGCAGGUCAGCUAACAACAAAGGCUCUGCUUAAGGAAAAGCCCCCUUGGCUGUCAGUCAAGGCAGUGCUGAAGGGAGCCGUGGCUGAGAGCACCACAGCAAGCUGACCCUGGGAGUGUGCCACUCAGCUCCCAAAGAGGGAACCUGUCCCAGUGGGCAGGGAGUUGAGAGCCUCCAGCUGCAGCGCCAGUGGGGGUCUGUUGCUGUGCUGGAGCUGAGCUCACACUUUCCUGGGCAGCAGCAGCCAGGGACUGUGAGCAGCAGACACCCCAAGGACUCCUGGACAGCAGCAGCCUGGGACUGUGCGCAGCAGGGCACGUGGGCCUGACCAUGUCUGCCCAGCACGGGACUCCCGAAUGGGCGGUCUUUGUUCUAGAGCUCCCAACUGGGAUGGCCAGCAUUUGCUUGGGCACUAUACUGCUCUGAGACUCUUCCUCCUUAAUUCUCUUUCCUUCCCCAUGUCCUUUCUUGGGGCUCAGAACAGCAUUGCGUCCCAAGGCUCCCCCUGCCUGCUCCUGCUCCUUCUGCCCCUUCCUCCUUGGUCGUCUCACCCAGUAAAUCCCUGGCACUGCCCACUCCGUCUUGGCAUCUGCUUCCUGGAGGGUCUGAGCUUGUGAGAAUAUCUAUGUUAGGAAAACCACAUGUGGCUUUCCAGCUGUUGGCAGAGAGGAAAAAAUGGUUUGAGGGUAGGAGAGCCAACAGUAACCUGCCUAGAGCCACUUGCCUCUAACAGCAAGGCUUGAGCAGGAGGUGAAAUGGGCGAAGCUGUGGUCCCCUUGCUUUCCGGACUUCCUUAAGUCUAGCCUCUGUUCUGUACAAGGUACAGGGAGCCUGGGAUCCCGGCUUGGCCCUCCCCUCCUCCUUUUGGCCAUUAUCUCCUCCCUGCACUGCAAGGUCUUUCUAUAGGUGGAGUGGAGUGGAGUGCAGUAGAGAAGCCAGUUCCUCUCUUCAUUUGGCCAGGUACCCUGUCUGUCUUGUUUAGAAUUGAUUCCCUAGAACCAAAAAUAGUAUCUAAAACAUAACAGCCAGUCCGUGAUGUUGGCUGAAUGACUAAACAAGUGAGUAAAGGCGGGUGGACCUUAUUUUGAUGCUUCUGGUGGUUAUAAAAGUGAACCAAGAAAUAAAAGUUAUCUCAACAGAUUAGUAUUAUAGCCAAAAAACACGGUCAGGUGGUCCCAGAGCCACCUUUCUCAUGAGUACGGUUCCUGUGGUGUCUGUUUACCCCCUCACUCCAUGAGCAAUCUCUCACUCCCAAAUGUCUGCCCUGGGCUGAAGAUCCCAUUCUUGUGGUCAAGACACCCCUUACCCCCUGCAUCCAGACAUCCCCACGUGGCUGAAGCCAGCCCUCUCUCUGUUGGCCACCGUGUUUCGGGUGCCCUGAGAUCACUCCUACCUCAGGAGAGCCUGUGGGAUGACAUUCCAAAGAGUACUCCUCCCAGCUUCUUUCAUUUAAAUAAUUUACAGCCCUCUUCCUCCCUAGGUCCUGGAAGAAGUUUCCCUUCAUGGGAAGUCCUUCAGAAGGUGAUCUGAGCCUGGCUUUGGUGAUGCACACUCAGACUUUAAAAGCCAUUCUCUCUCAAUUAUCUCAGGCAUUAAGCACACUAGCAGGUAAUUAUUUGUCUAAACCCAGAGGGAAAACAAUAACCAUCUCAAGAGCUGAGUUUGGUUCAAGACUCACUGGGCUUUCACAGAGUGCAGGAGAGAGGGCUCUGUCUACUCAUGUCUUCACUGAGGACCAAAGCAGAGACAAUGGGUUGAACAAGCAGUAAGCAUUCUGUACGCUGGUUGUGGCUGAGCAGUGGCUCCCUUAAAAAGUAGGGCUGGUUCACUCUUGUGGACUAUGCUAUAUGUGUGCACAGAGGCUGAGCUCCGGAUAAAGUCCUGUUGUUCCCUUCCUCCUUGGCCACCUCAAGGUCCCAGGCCAAUUAAAAGUCAAGUUGCCAUCCCAGAGAUGAGUCCUUUCAACAAAAGAGUCUCUUUCCAUCUGAGUCUCAGUCAGUCACUUUCUCUGUCUUCCUAUGAAUUUCUAUUAUAUUCAUAUAAUAUAAAAGAAAACAUUAUAUUAUAUGGCAGGAAAUUUCUCCAAGGUCAAGGUGGGAAAGAGUAUGUUCAU